CAGCCAUUCCGCGUGAGUGAAGAAGGCCUUCGGGUUGUAAAGCUCUUUCGGCAGGAACGAAACGGUGAGCUCUAACAUAGCUCGCUAAUGACGGUACCUGAAGAAGAAGCACCGGCUAACUACGUGCCAGCAGCCGCGGUAAUACGUAGGGUGCGAGCGUUAAUCGGAAUUACUGGGCGUAAAGCGUGCGCAGGCGGUUGUGUAAGUCAGGUGUGAAAUCCCCGGGCUUAACCUGGGAACUGCGCUUGAGACUGCACGGCUAGAGUACGGCAGAGGGGGGUGGAAUUCCACGUGUAGCAGUGAAAUGCGUAGAGAUGUGGAGGAACACCGAGUGGCGAAGG
rnacentral:rRNA from 1 species